AAGCAGGAUAAGUUACAGUACAGCUUGUUCAGUGCUGUUGUCGUUCCCCCUGCACACAGAAACACGUCUUCUCCUAUCCCUGUCUGUCAGCAUCCCACAGCAGGCAGGGAUGCUUGGUCUCAGACAC
ensembl:snoRNA SNORA63 Small nucleolar RNA SNORA63